GUUCUGUCAGACCUCUCCACCAUGACCCGUCCAUCUUGGGUGGCCCCACACGGCCUGGCUUAGUGUCACUGAGUUAGACACGGCUGUGGUCCAUGUACUCAGAUUGGCUAGUUGUCUGUGAUUGUGGUUUCAUGAGAAAAAUAGAGGAAAA